UGCUGAAAAUAUCGGAUGUCCCUCGACAUCCAAUUUCAAUGCUCGCAGCCAUUUUCGAAACUCUUCGCCUCGAGACAACAGCAUCGUUUCCAGCCAAUCACUCUUCUCAACAAUUUGCAAGGGGGUUCAGCGCAGAACGACUCUCUCAAGACACAGUGGGUUCCUUGAGGACACUUGAAUCCGGCACAAGAAGAAACUUGAAUUCGAAAUCAGUUUUGAUUUCUCGCCUUUUCAAUUUAUACGAAAAUAUGAACAUGUAUGUACGAACUCACUUUCAUCCCAACGACAACGGCGGACUUUCAUCAUGCAUGUGUAUCCAUUGGUGCAGUAUACGGCAUCACAGCUGGAAGGACCCUUCAAAGAUUCUCAAAAGACACGAAUGCGCAUUAAAAAUAAAGAAUAGAAACUUGCGUAUGAGAAAUCUUUUAUAAUUUAAUAAUUUACUCAAAGGAUAUACAAAGAACGAAAUUUCUUUUAAUUAACUUAACUCAUUUAUGCGGCGUAAAAUUACAUAUUUUUUUAAUAAUAUUUUAUACCUACUUUCUCACUUAGAUUAAAAAUAAUAACUAUUCAAUGAACCUUGAAGAGACAAAAUUUCUAUUUCUGAAUAUUAAAAUGACAGAGAAAUAAUUCUCAUUCAAAACGAAAAGAAAAAGAAAAACUUGAAGUAAGAUUCCCUUGAAAGGAUAUCUCUUAGUGCAUCUCUUAAUACAGGUUCCAGAGGGAUGUAUAUCAUCCAGGAAUUUCAUUUUCAUUACAUAAUCUAAAAUCUACCGCAUCCCUGUAUAAUGGGAUCAAACAUCUAAAGACAAUGAAUUUACAACUUAAACAACUGUUUCAGAUCCAUUCACAAAAUUGCAUUCACCGUUAAUCGUUCUUUGGGCUCUGCAACCUUAAUUAAAUUUCACCAACUCAGAUGUCGUUGUCGAGACGCUUACCUGUACGAGAUUUCGAGCAGUAGAGCAUAGUGGGACAAGGUGGAUUUUUGCAUCGGAAUUUUCUGUGUACGCAGUGCUCGUCUUCCUCGCAAUGCAAGUACGGGCAUCCUCGAUGGACAGGUGCCUGGAUCAAUUCUGUGUAUAAAUUAUUAUAAGUCACAAUUCGAAAUUUCUUCAAUCCUUGGAAGAAUAUUUUGGAAAAUUGAAUUUCCAUGCGUUUGAAAAAAAUAUUUUUAAAAGGAUAAAUUUUGUGUAUGGAGUGAUAAAAUGGAUUGAAAAUUUAUUAAACUGUUAUAAUGUUUUAUGAAAGUAGAAUAUUUGGAGAAGCAAUAAGAAGAUGUAAAAGAAUAGGUGGAAAUUUAAA
rnacentral:lncRNA from 1 species